CACGGGGAUGGCCCCACGCGAAUGCGCAUCCUGACAACUGGUUUGUCCUGGUACACUUUGAACACAUCCUCAAAUCUCGCUGGUAUUAAUAUUCUGACGGAAUGAUUAUAUCUUCGUGAUGAGCCAGACAAUAUGGCUAUCAUGUUGUCAAGUGGAUAUAUACCCUCACAAUAUUCGGAACAUGUAAAAUCCCAGUGUAAGACUCAAGUGGAUUACAGAAUUAAAAUAAAAGAUUUCAUACGAGGAAAUGGAUCGAUGGUG